rnacentral:tRNA from 1 species
GGUGGCUUAGUGGUAGAGCACUUGCUUUGCAUGCACGAGGCCCUGGGUUCGAUUCCUCAGCACCA